rnacentral:rRNA from 1 species
GACGAACGCUGGCGGCGUGCUUAACACAUGCAAGUCGAACGGAAAGGCCCUGCUUUUGUGGGGUGCUCGAGUGGCGAACGGGUGAGAAACACGUGAGUAACCUGCCCUUGACUUUGGGAUAACUUCAGGAAACUGGGGCUAAUACCGGAUAGGAGCUCCUGCUGCAUGGUGGGGGUUGGAAAGUUUCGGCGGUUGGGGAUGGACUCGCGGCUUAUCAGCUUGUUGGUGGGGUAGUGGCUUACCAAGGCUUUGACGGGUAGCCGGCCUGGGAGGGUGACCGGCCACAUUGGGACUGAGAGACGGCCCAGACGCCAACGGGAGGCAGCAGUGGGGAAUAUUGCACAAUGGGCGGAAGCCUGAUGCAGCAACGCCGCGUGCGGGAUGACGGCCUUCGGGUUGUAAACCGCUUUCGCCUGUGACGAAGCGUGAGUGACGGUAAUGGGUAAAGAAGCACCGGCUAACUACGUG